UUGGUUUUAAAACUAAAGAACUAUAAUAUAUUGCAUAAAAAUAUAUUAAGAUUCGAAUUUGUUCAAGAGGUUUAAAAGUAAAUGCAAGAAUUAGGGAAUUGGAUAGGUGGAAAAGAGCCUCACAAACAAUAACAAGAGUCUAAUACACUUAUGGUUAUUAUUUGACAAUUUUAUUAAUCUGGCUUAUGUUAGUAAUUAAAAUCUGCUAAACCCUCAAAGUUUUUCGCAUAUAGUAAAUUGAAUUAUGUUGUAUGUAACCAUACCAUUGUUUACAUACAGAGACCUAGUAAAGUGGGCAAAAAUACAUAGAACAAUAAUGCAAACACUGGCUUUGAUUCCCGAGGUGGGCCUGCCCCUUCAGGGUCAAUCUGCAUUUACUUUGGAUUUGAAUUCAAUCCAACUUGAGAUGACGCCACACGAUUUUCAAAUCCGAUCUGCUAAAACGUCGUAUUUACAUGGCGCGUUUUAAUAGGAUUGAAAGUUGACAAGUGGAAAUUUAUGGCAGGGUUGUUUGAAAAUGUUUUUAGUAAGUUUGAUUACACGGUUUUGAUAUUAGCAAGAACAGCUUAUCUCAUAGCUUUUUAGGACCUUCGGAACUUAACUGUGUGGGGCGCCAUUAUGAAAAUUUGUUCACUUGUUAAGUUAACAAGCUCGCUAAAACGAUAGCAAGCAAGGAAACUCGCUUGAGACGACUCGCAAAAACCUCGUGCAAUGCCGGGUUUAAGUGAGAGAAUAAGGCAGCAAAGUCGUAAAAAAGGGCCCCAAGGUGGACAGCAGUUGAAAUGGAUGCUUUAGUUGAGGUGCACAUCUUUACUUGGUGCAAUGAAGGGAAUAUGGGUACCAUCGAUGGUACCUACCAAACCUGGAAACUGUGCGAUAAAAUUUCUGUCUGGAAUUCGUAUAAACUGAUGACAGUUUGUUGGGAAACAAUGGAUUUUUAAAAAAUUCCAGAAGCUAAAACUUUCAGUGAUAUUAAAAUUUGCUCUUCAACUGAAAUGCAUCUUUUACUGCUGCUUUACGGUUUCAAAUCUUCGUGCAAGAGAUUCCUGUAUCACCGCCUUUGGCAUACGUUUUUCCGAAAAUAAUUGUACAUCUGUCAUUUCUGUCCUUUUCCCUGUGACAUUUAAACGCUUACUCGAAGUUUUCAAUGCAAAUAAGGCGUACAUAACUUAGUUAUGUGUAUUACUUUUGCGUCAAAUACAAAAUUUAGCUAUGAACUAGGUCUGAGUUCCGCGUUAGAUAGCAAGUGAUUUUCCAAGUUUGAGUUAGCGAGAUAGUGCUUCGUAAUACAAAAAGGCGGUUUAACGAAUAAGUACCUCACUACUGAGCACACUAAACUUCGCGAGAUGUGUUCAUAAUGCCGCCCCAGAUUAGUAUCACCACACACUAUGUUUUUCCCUAAAGUGGAUUACUACAAUAGUGAGCCUCCCAUUGUGUUGCUCUUUAGUAUGCUUUUAACGAUAUUAAAUUGUCUCUCUGCUUUCAUUUGGAAGUGGGAACUGGGAUAAGUGAUAAAUCGACCACAGUGUUAUUUAAUGGGAAGUCGUUAACCACCUUAAACUCCUGGUGAGCCUGUAUUGUAGAAGUUGUAGCAGGUUUAUUUCUAGACACAGAGAAGUAUAAAUAAGUUGCAGAACCUCACAGGGAAGUAUUGUUUGCAGAAUUCUAUUUUACUAACGAUUUUGUUUUAUCAUUAGUAAGAAAGUAGCCUAUGUAAGAGAAGACCUUGCAUUUAACAGAUUUAAUUUAAGGAAAAACAUAAUUAAAGAAAACUGACGGAAGACAAGGCGAAAUCAACAAUACUGCAAAGUUUUUUUAUAAUACAGGAAACAAGUAUUGGUACAGUGGAAGAAUCCUUAAGCGCAGUAUCAUAAUAUACUAAAAUGUGUCAAAAUCUAGAGCAGAAACUGCUAAGUGGCCAUUUUUUGGAAAGCUAAAUGCAUUGCUGUCUUGUCGUCCAAGAACAAAACCAGUGGAAGGAAAAUCCAUCAUGGUCGAUACAAUGGUACAGGAGUAUGGUGAGUAUCUGUUGGUGUUUUUUUGUGUAGGUUAAUGUAAUAUGUGCUGCAAUUAAAAAAGGCCUGGUUACUGAACGAAAAGAACUUGGAACACCAGAGCUUGAUUGUAAGAGUGGUGAGUUACAUAUUACUUGUAAACAGGUUGAACAGUUUUUUUUAAUGUUUAGAGGGGAAAAAGGAGGGAAUUCAUGACGCAUACAAAAAAAGAAUGUGCCAAGGAUCUGAAAUUAAGAAAUAAUGGUACAGUAUAUGAACAAUGCAAGUCGAGCCAUAAAUGUACUGGUUCCUAAUCAGGAGCCCCCAAUUGUUUUGCAAAUGUCUCCAGAUGCAGCUGGCAGUAGUACUACUAAAUAACUUUCAUUGAUUUUUAUUUCAUUUACUUCUUGUGCCUCAAUGUUUUAUAUUAUUCAUUUCUUACCUUUCAUACUGUUCAUUAACUUACAAAACAUA